UUGUGACGCAUUCAACUUGUAUGAAGUGUUGAUUAUAUGCAAGUUGCUAGGCUAAUACUGUGCGUUCAGCUGUUCCUUUUGACGUAAAGCCGUAGUUUAUGACGAAACAAAAGUUGGAACCGAAAUGUCAUAGAGUCGAAUAAAUUUCCAUGGAAAAAACUUUGAAUCAAACAAAAGCAUUCUAUAAAGCGCAUGUGUACGCUAACAAAUCGGGCAGUGGAACGAUAUGGAACGUGCAACAGCCAGCCAUGGAAGAUAACGUUCAUUUCAAUGUUGGACUGGUUUUGUCAUGCACUGGACGAUAAAUCUUCCACGAUCUCAAACGAGAACAAGCCUUCUUCUGGAAUUUCUCUCAGGCAUGUUACCCUUGGGUUUGAAUCACCUCGGCGUCGGUCUUCCGGUGGGGCUGGAGAUGGGGAAAAUGAAGACGAGAGUUAGAUCUGGAAACUGCUGCACUCAUACCGACACUGACCAAUAUCAGCAAUGAGAGGUUGCGCCAUGAUCAGGAAAGACACGUGCAGACGGUGUGGCCUGAGAGCAGUUUUAUGGUCGAGUCCAUCCCAGAUCGGGGCUGCAGGUCAUCCAGCCUUAUAGUCUGUCCCAAGUCACUUUUCAUUGUUGACACGGCCAGAAUUGCUGAAUUUUUCAGGAGUUGUAAUAAAGAAGUUAACUUGCUGAAAUAGCCAGCCUGCCUUUAGUCUUGAGGAACCGAAUAAACCUAAGAAGCUGAGAAAUGCAAAAGGGCGAUGCCAAACUUAAAAAGUAGACAGAGAGUCGCACGCAGAUGGCUGAAGAACGCAGCAAAUGUGUACAGUGACAUAGCUUUUAAAGAUCUAGACCGAGGACACACUUAUUAGUGUGGCUGACUUCAUCACGCCGGAGUGCAACUGCACAGCUCUGAAAAAGAUUGCUGGAAAGGGGAGGAGUUUUUGCAAGCGACAAAACGUACAGCAUGGUUUCUGAUAUGACCCUUAGGACCCGAGGUGUGGAACCUGGCCAGGGAAAUAAGGAAAAUAUUCUGAGGACCGCGAUGCAAGCUAAGUACAUGAAACAAAAAUGGAAAAUUUUUCUAUUGAUUCCAGUAUAUUAAUGUACACCUGUCGGCAUCAGAAGGAAAUAUAUAGGUCGAAUGUAAUAGCGACUACAUAAUGAAAGGUAUUAUAUUUCAUUCAUUUCGAUUUUAAGGAUAAAACAAAUAAACAGGCAUAACGAUACACAGGCAGAUGGGUAAACAGUUUGUUGGACAGUCUGAAGCACGGAUGGGGGACAGUGUGGUAGACGGCUGGUUGUGACGGUUAGUUAUUCGGUCAAGUCGGCGGUUGGGUUGCCAGUAAGAUGGCAAGUUGUGUUGAUGUUUGGGUUAAUGGUUGGCUGGCCGGUUAGGUUGGCCGCUGGUUAGACGUUUGAGUGGACAGUUGUUGGGCAGUUCAGUGGGCAGUUAGGUUGACAGUUAAGAUGAAUCUUGGUUCAUACACACAACUGUUCAACCAACCGUCAUUUGGACUUUCUGUUAAACUGUGGUGGACCACUGGGUUAAUGUUUGAUUAAAGGUUGAGUGAACGGCUGUGUGGACGGUUCAGUGGUCGGUUGGGUGGAUGGUUAUUUGGACAGUUAGUUGGACGACCCAACAUUUGGGUGGACAGUUAUUGGACAGUUUGAUUGACAAUUGGUAUGAACCUUGGUGUAAUAAAUAGUACCAACUUCCAUCCAAACAUCCAGCUGUGAUAGUUAGUUGUACGCUUAAAUGGAUGGUUGGUCUGAUGGUUAACUGGAAAGUUUGACGACCGUUAGUUGGGUGGUUGGGCGAACGGACUUUGGGCGGUUGGGUAAAGGUUUGGAUGGACAAUACAGAGAACAGUUGCCGUAAACCUUGGUUUAACCAAUGGUUUCAAGAGUUCAUCUUAUUGUCCAACCAACCGCGUAAAGCCGUCCACCCUAAUCCCCACCCAGCCCUCAUUCAGACUCUCAACAACAUUUAAACAUAACUAAUUAACAGUUGGGUUGAACGGUGGGCAUACAAAUGUUAGACGUUUGGGUGGACGUUGCUGGACAAUAUUGUCGAAGAUUGGUUUCAACGGUUGGCCGGUUGUGUGAAAAGUUGGUUGGAAGGUCAAAAGAACAGUUUGCUGGACAGUUUAGUCUCAGUCUGAAGAACGGCUGGGUGGACAGAUUGACGGUCUGAAGAAGUUUGUGUCUACAGUGAUGUGGACGGUUGGUUGAAACGGAUGGUUCACAGUCGGAUAAACAGUGUGGCAAAGGGUUUUGUUGAUAGCGUGGUGGAAAUUGCGAACUUGACAGUUGGAUUGAUGAUUGGACAGUGGGCUUGAUUACUGAGUGGCUGUUUGUUGGACUGUUCGGUGGAUGGUUGGGUUGACAGGUGCGACGAACGUUGGUUCGUCCAACCCACUGUCCACUCGUUAAUCUGCCGUCAAACCAACUGUCGUUAAAUGAACUGUUGAGCGAUUGGCUUGUUAAACGGUUCGAGGGUAGUUGGCUGGACACUUGGAUGUCGACAGUUAGUUGAACGGUUGGUGAAACUUUUCGUGGACAGCUGGAUAGCUGGGUGGAUGUUUGGGCGGAUGGUCGAGACGGUUGAUAGGACGUCGGUGAUGUUUGUGUGGACGGUUGUUGGACAGUUCAGUAGAUAGUUCGGUUGACAGGUGCGAUGAACCUUGCUUCAUCACCAGCCCACUGUUUGACUCCACGAUUCUUCGACGGUUGGGUUAAAAUUGGGAUGAGCCUUGGUGCAAUAAAAGGGGACAACCACCAUGCAAAUGUCCAACUGUGACACUUGGUUGUUUGGUUACAUGGAUGGUUGGUUAGACGUCAUGAUGGACAGUUGGGUUAACAUUCGUGAUGAACCUUGGUUUAAUAGGCAGUUGCAACUGUCCAUCUAAUGUCUGCCCCAAUGCCCACCCAAUCUGAUUCAGACUGUCUAACAUUUCCAAAGAACCGUCCUUUGGACUGUUGAGCAGAUCCUUGGACGGCUGGCUGGACAGUUGGUAAUUGGACGUAUGGAUAGACAGUGCUGGACAGUUUGGCGGACAGUUGGUUCCACGGUUAGCCAGUGGUGUGAGAAGUCGGCAUAAAAUUCCAAAACAGCGUGUUGGACAGUUUGGGGGCGGUCUAAAAGACUGCUGGGUGGAAAGUAGGUGGACGGUUAUUGUAACAGAUAUUUAGACGGUGACAUAGCCGGUCGGAGUGGAUUACGUGGACAACUUGGUGGAUUGUUGGGUGGACCAUUGUCUGGUCAGUCGGCUGGAUGUUUAAGUGGGCAUUUAACUGGACAUUGCGGUGGAUGGACAGUUGCAAUGAAUCUUGGUCUGUCCAACCCACUAUCCUCUGCCAAAGACCGUCCAACCAACUGUAGGGAAGUGGAGAGGUGAGUUGUAGGUUGGUUAAACGAUUGGAUGGCUGUUUGGCGAGACGUUAAGUGUCGACGGUUAGUUUCAUUUCGUUGAGAGUUCAUCACUGGGUAGUUAUGUGGCUGUUUGGCAGAUUGAUGAGUUGACUGUAAAACGGUUAGUAAGACGCGGACGGUUGAGUGGACUUUUGGGUAUAACCUUGCUGCAUCGACCUGCUGUCCACCCAACCGUCAUACAGACCUUCCAACCGACAGCUGGCACAUGGACAAUGAGAUUCCGGUUAGAUAUACGGCUAGGUGAAUAGUUGGGUUGACGGCUUGUUGGACGGUUGGGUUGACAGUUUGGAAAAACCUUAAUAAGUCCACACCUCUGUGUAUAAUGUACACUCAAUAGUCAUUCAAACUGUCCAUGAAACUGUUGGUAGGUGGACUACAUGUAUUGAGUUGGUGGUUGACAGUUGGGUUGUUUGUUGGGUGUACGGUCAUGCGAACCAAUUGACGGAGUUAUAGGUGGCCAGUAUGGUGAAUGGUUUGAUAGACGGAUAGAUGACCUGACUUAGUCCAUUAGUUAACGUUUGAGUGGACAGAUCUUGUACAGUUGGGUGAACAAAUUAUGAGUACUUUGGUUUGAUAAACCGUUGGAAUCGUCCAUCUAACGGUCCACCCUAAUACCCACUGAACCGUUAUUCAGACCGUCCGACAACAUCUCCAAAGAACCGUCGUUUGGAGUGUUGGACAGUUUGGCGACUGGUUGGGUGGACAGUUGGUGAGCUUUUUGGGUGGGCAGUUGCUAGAGAGUUUUUAGACAGUUGUUGGAAUGGUUUUACCUGUUGUACGAACAGUUGUUUAACGUUCUAAAACGGUUUCUUGGGCAGUUUGGGGACAGUUUAGCUAGAUGGACAAAUUUGUUGACCGUCUGAAAGGCCGUUAGAGUGGAAAGUGGGGUGGAUGUUUAUGGUGACACAGUCACAUGGACGAUUGAGGAUGGGUUUACAGUUAGUCGGACAAUUUGGUGCGUUGACCAUUCGCUAGAUGUUUAAGUGGACAGAUACUUCGGUCAAAAGGUGCGUUGACAGUUGCGAUGAAUUUUAGUUCGUCCAAUCCACUGUCUGCCGCCAUUAAGACCAAAUGCAGGUAAAUGAACUGUUGAGUUGUUGCUUGGUUUAACGAUUGGAUGGGCGGUUGGCAGGACGGUCAGGUGUCGACAGUUAGUCGGACGGUUAGGAAGAUUUUUGUGGACAGUUCAGUGGGUUCUAAGUAUAAGUGUUUUGGCAGAUAGAUGGGUUGACUAUUACAUGAUUGGUAAGACGUUUGUGUGGACAGUUGUCGAGGUUCUGUGGACAGUUGGGUGGAGAGUUGGGUAUAACCUUACUGCAUCGACCCUACUCUCCAACCCCAACCGCCAUACAGACCUUCCAACCGACUGUUAGUAGGUGGGCAGUCAGGUUACGGUUAGUUAAACCGUUGGGUCAAUAGUUGUGUGGUCGGUUUAGUGGACGGUUGGGUUGACAGUUUGGAAGAACCUUGAUUUUUUUCACACCACUGUCCACCCAAUACUCACUCGGACUGCCUAGAAAACUGCAGGUAAGUGGACUUUUGGUUGGUGGUUGACGGUUGGGUGGUUGCAGAUGGUUUGGUGGACCGUUAGGUGGUGGGCUUGGUGAAUGGUUUAGUGGACGGUUAAGUUAGUCUGAUUUGUCCGGUUGGUUAGACGUUGAAGUGAAUAGAUCUUAGACAGUUUUGCCUGGCAGCUGCUUUUCACGUUUGGUGGGUUGUUGGAACAGUUGGUUGGACGGUUUUAGGGCAGUCUGAUAAAGUACGGCAGGGUGGACAAUUUUUCUGAUAGUCUCAAGGACGGUUAGAUUGACUGUGAGGUGGAAGUUUGGAUAUGACGGGUGUUUGUAUGGUCCUCCGGUUUGGCAAAGAGGCAGUUUGGUGGAUGUUUGAGUCGUCAAUUCGAUUUGAUGGUUAUUUGGUAAGAUUUUGGAUUGUUUAAUAGGGCAGUUCGAUGGACGGUUAGGUUGACUGUUGCAAUGAACCUUAAUUGGUUCGUCAAUCCAACACACCUGUCUAGCAAACUGCCCAGUAAAUGUCCACACAAACUGAUUGUCUACAUCCGUCUAGUCAACCACUCAACCAACUGUUCCACCUCUUAUUGAACUUAAAUGUCCACCUACCAACAGUUGGUUGGACGGGCUGAAUGACAAUGGACAGUUAGUUGAUAGACGAUACAUUACACGUUUAUGCGGACAGUUGUUAAAGCUUCAGUGGACAGUUGAAUGAAGAUUUGGGUAUAACCUUACUGCACGAUGCAUCCGCCCCACUGUGCACCCAACAGUCAUGUGCAAUAAAUCACCUGAUGGUAGGUGGGAAGUUAGGAUCCGGUCGGAUAAACAGUAUGGACAGUUUGGUACUGAACGAAUCGGUUGACAUUUGAAAGAACUUUUAUUUGUCUACACCACUUUCCAUCCAAUCGUCAUUUAGACUGUCUAACAAACUGUAGAUACGUGGACUGUUGGCUUGCUUUUUAACGGUUUGGUACUUUGUUGAGUGGAAGGUUGCGUGGAAGAUUUGGUGAAGUUAGAUGGGUGGCCGGUUUGGUGAGUUGGCCUGACUUGGUCGGUUAGUUAGACGUUUUUAGUGGACAGAUCUCGAUUAGACAGUUCGGUUUACAAUUAAGAUAAUCUUUUGUUUGGUAGAUGGUUGCAACUGUCCCUCUGACUGUCUACCCUAAUGGCCACCCAACCGUCAUUUAGAUCGUCCAACGACAUGUCCAAAGACUCGUCCAUUGGGCUAUACGUCGGACGGUUGGGAAGACAAGUGGUUACACGUUUGGGUGAACGUUGUUGGAAAGUUUGGUGGAAUAUUGGUUUCAACGGUUGGCCGGUGGUAUGAAUAGUUGGUUUAACGCUCAAAAGGAAGGUUUGUUGGACAGUUUCGGGCAGUCUGAAGAAAAGUUGGAGUGGACAUAUUUUUGACAGUCUGGAGGACAUUUGGGUCGACAGUAGGGUGGACGUUUAGAUGUAACGGAUGGUUGCAAGGUCAGAUGGGCAGGCAGUUGGGUAAACGGUUUGGUGGAUAGCCGGUUGGAUGUUUGUGUGGACAUUAUGGACGGUUUGGGGGGCAGGUGGGUUGACAGUUGCUGUUAACGUUGGUUUGUCCACCUCGAUCACUGCUCAUAUGUCAUUCGGGCUGUUAUCUGAAUGAAGGUAGGUGGACAGUUGUACUUUUGAGUGGUUAAACGGGUGGGUGGUGGUUGACUGUCGCAGCUAGUACGUUGGACGGUUGCAUAGACGUUUUGGUGAAGAGUAAGCUGGCAGUUGAUGAAUGUUGCUGUCAUUAGUCGACAGUCAGACGUUCGAUCAGACAGUUGUACACACAGUUGUUGGAGAUUUUAAUGUACAUUUGCGAUCAACCUCAUUCACCCCACUAAUCGUCAUUUAGACUGCCCAACAAACUGUAGAUAUAGAGAUGAACUGUUUGAAUGGUUGGCUAAUGGUUGGGUGGUACGUUGGCUUGACAGUUGGCCGAAUGGUUGCAUGGGCGUUUUGGUGGACAGCUGGGUGGCCAGUGAGGUGAAUAGUUUGGUGGUUAGUCAGGCGGUCCGUUAAUAGACGUUUGGGCAGACAGUUCUUGGAAAGUUCACUUGACGGUUGGGUUGAAAAAAGGAAUGAAUCAUGGUUCAAUAGACGGCUGCAACUUGUCCAUCUGACCGUCCAGCCAACCGUUUAACAACCGUCCAUUCUAAUGCCCACCCAGUUUGGCCGACAACUGAUUUUCACGGUUGGUCGGUUGUCUGAACAGCCUUUUGGUUGGAAGGUCUAAAGAACGGUUUGUUGGACAGGUUGGGGCAAUCAAAAGUGCGGCAGGGUGGAGAGAUUUUUGACAGUCUCAAUGACAGUUGGAUGGACAGUGGGCGUUUUGUUAUGAUUGGUUGUUUGUACGGUCAUGCGGUUUGAUAUAAAUGGACUGUUUGGUGAUUUUUUGGGAUCUCGACGGUUGGAUGGACGGUUAUUUGGUAAGAUUUUGUAUUCAGGAUUUAUUGGACAGUUAAUUCGGUUGGCGGUUGCGGUUGACAGUUCAUCCAAAGCACUGUCCACUGUGAUUCAGACCGUUAAACUCACCCUAGGUGGCCUGUUGAGUUGUCUGUUGGUUGAUUGGUUGGUUGAGUAUACGGAUGUAGACGGUUAGUGACACGCCUGUGUGAAAAGCUAUACGGACAGUUCAGUUAACGCUUGGUUGACAGUUGUGUUGAUGUAUGUUGAAAGGUUGGGUGGGUGGAGAAAUGGGUGUACAAUACCCAGAUUUUUUGGAGUAAGCCUGUUUAAGUAUUUGGGCCAUUGUUAGAAGGAACUGGUAUAUUUAAACUUCCAGUCUUUCUGUCAUUUAUGGCAUCUUCAGAUUCUUUCUAUACUAAAACUUCACUUCACCUGUAAAUAUGUCUCUGAAACAGUUAAAAGUCCUUGUUCAUUCUGUCUUCAAGAUUUAUUUCAUUUUCUACAGCAUAAUAAUUACACACGAUAAUACAACAUAUAAUAAAUACAUAAAUAUGAUUGAAAGAUACUACAAUACACUUUAGAAAGGAUGCUGUAGAGGGGUACCCAAUGAAAGCAAUGCUUGUAAAUUUGGGCCCCGUUUGUAACAUUACUUAUUAAAUUACACACAAAAAAAGAAGGAAUUAGGGUUUGGCUCAUCGAGGUAAUCAGUAAAUAAAGUCCCAGAGGAGGGAAUAUGUUUAGCCAGAUUGGGACCUAUGUUUACAAAAUAAUUGUUGAAAUGGUUAGCGAUUUGAUCCUGAUCCCUGAUCAUCUUCCAUUCAUGUGUAAUACUAGAGACAAUCGCAGUAGAUAAUUUUUUAUUUAAGACAAAGUUAAUAAUCUUCCAUGUAUUGCGAAUAUUAUAUUUUUCCUUGUCAAAUUGACGAGUGUAAUAUUGGCGCUUGGAUGUUCGCAAAAAGUCAGUUAAAAUAUAUUUGUACUUAGUAUAUUCCCAUUUAUGUGAUGCAGUGGGAUGAGCCAAAUACUGCCGGUAUAGUCUAUUUUUUCUAUUAAUGGACUUGAGCAGCGCGUGAGUUAACGGGGAGUGCAUGUGGUUUGGAUUUAGAUCUAUGCUUAUAAUUGUGAGAAACAAGUGGGAUAGUAUCAUCUAAUUUAUUUUUAAAUUUAUCCAUAAAUUCAUUAAAUGCCAAGUCGGGAUUGUUCCUAACAAAAACACUUGUCCAGUCGGUAGACAGAAGCUCAUCCUAGAACCUAUGGAGAUUAUCGGGAGUAAAAUUCCGAGUUGCAGCACAAGUAUCUUGAAAAUUGGAAGAAGCGUUUGAUAUACCACAUUGCAUUAGUGUAAAUAUAGGCAGGGGAUCAGAUAUAUCACUAAUUGUUAUACCUGAUUUUGGUGAGGGUCAAACAUUUGUUAAAAAUUAUCAGUAAGUGUAGCAGAAGUAUCGAUUAUUCUAGUGGGCUUAUUAAUUAAGGUAAGAAAGGAAUAUGAAGGAAAAAUAUCAAAGAAAUCCUGGGACCAAGGGUUGUCAUGAUUAAGCAAAUUGAUAUUAAAAUCACCUGCAAUAAAGCAAUCUUUCCUAUCUGGAGUCAUUUGUAUGGUAAGGUUGUGAAAGGCAGGCAUGGAGUCAUUGUGAUUAACUCUGGGAGACUUGUACAUGACACCAGCAAUAAUAAUUUUUUAUUUAAGCACGUUAAUUUCAAUAACUAAAGACUCAAGAUAAUAAUUGGAACACGUAAGAUCAUUCCGCAGUUCAAAGGCCAGGUUACGGGAGAUGUAAAGUGCAACCCCUCCUCCCGUUCUGUCUAAUCUGUUGUUGACGAUGAGUUCAUAACCAGGUGUUAAAAAGUAAUCAUCUGGAGUACUUUGGAGCCACGUUUUGGAGAGAGCAAUAACUGAAAAUUUAUAAACAAGAGACUGCAGUAAAUACUUCAGCUGGUGAAAAUUUUUCGGAAGACUCCGGAUAUUGAGAUGAAGAAAUGACAAACCGUCACAGCAACAUUUUUUGGAAACCGAUCCACUGAGUAAUAUUGUGAAUUGCCAGGAGAAUGAAAGGGAUUAUUAAGAUCCAUACUAUAAAAAUUAGAUCUUCUAACGUGAUCAUUACUAAAGCUAGAACCAUCACCAAUGCUUUCUGAAUCAGAAAGAUUGAUGUUACUUUCAUUUAUAACACUACGAACCUCGGAAUCAUUUAGCGAGAUAAAUGGGAAUAUGUUAGCAAUGCACGCAUGGCAAAACCAAGGAUUAUCAUCACUACUAAGAUUACUGUACUCAGCUAAAGAAAGGGAAGUACAUUUGAGAUGGAUCCAGUUAUUACAAAUAUUCUCUUAACUGGCUGUCUGCAAGAUAUACCUGGGAAUUUAACAGGCGUGAAAGCAGACCAGACAAGGACAAAAGACAAUUGAGAUAUACUUCAGAUAAAUACAAAACAAAAAUACAAAAUAUUAAGUACAAGUUGAAUUAGGUUACGAGGUAGCAAUAACUUGAAAAAUCGAUUUGAUGGGACAAUGUAUUUUCUAUACACCAAAAUUCACAGAGAGGUACGAUUGAUGAGAAAUUAUCCAGAACGGCUAGGUCACGUGAUGUCAAGGGUGGCGACCACAAACAUGUGGGCAUUAAGCCUUACAAUGUUUACAGAUGAUUGAAAUUUAAUAAAAGUUAUCUGGAAAAAAAUCCAUUUUUGCCUUUUUGUCGUGUUUAUCGAGCUGUAAUUAUGCGUGAGAUGAGAAAUUGCAGUAAGUUUAAAGCAUUUAGUAAUUUUUCUAAGCACUAAUUGUUUAGGAGUUUUAAUUGCUAUUGGGGAACGUAUGCUGGGCCUCCACAUUUCCACGGUCAGGCGAGUUUAUGAAUCCCGUCCCCCGCUCCGAAUUAAAGAUCU